rnacentral:misc_RNA from 1 species
GUGAAUCAUCAAAUCUUUGAACGCACAUUGCACCCUCUUCGGAGCGUAUGCCUGUUUGAGGGUCAGCCUAAAAAAAUCGACAUCGUUGCUGUUUCACAGUGGCGUUCGCCGGAAAUUGGGUUAUCUUAAUUCUUUGUUUUAAGCGACUUAAAAUUUCCUUUACAAUUCCAUGAAUGUUUCUAAGUUUU